GUGGAAGCUGGCGGGAGCCGGUUGCUCCUGGACCAGCUCCUGGAAGAGGAACACGGCCUGGGGUCUGGGCCGCCGCUUGUCCGCGGCUCGGCUGCCGCUGCCAGGCAGUCAAGGGGGCGCUGGUGGGGGCGCGCUGCUCGGGGAGCCGGUGGGUGACGCCUGGGCUGUGCGGCUAGGGAGGCGCCCAGGGAGGGGAGCGGAGGAACGGGUGAGGAAAGGAAGCUGCAUGAAGGAAAAUGGCGCAAUGCACAAAGCAGGGUCAUCAGAAGCCUCUCAAUUCCAAAGAUGAUAAUAGUGAAAAACAUUGCUCAGUGACAGUGAACCCUUAGCAUAUGAAGAAAGAUUGUAAAGUCCUGAAUGAAUUAAGAAGAGAAAGCAUGAGCCUAUGAAUCUAACCUCAUCUGUGAUGGUCUGCAGCUGGGAGCAACCUGAUCAGUGUCAGUCCCUUUGCAGCCAUUGGCUGGGAGCCUGCAUUUUAUCUGGAAUGAUAUUUGAAAUAUGUCAUCCUAGCCGUGCCUUCACUGUGGGCUGGGAGGCGAGUUAGUCAGAAUCUGCAUUAUGGAAUGUUUUGGAUGACAAGCUUGUAUUUUCAAAAGUACACACCCUGUGGGAGGUGCUCUGUACAUAGGCUGAGAUACUGCACAUAAAAUUGCCUCUGAAGCCCAGUGAUCUGAAAACCCGGUCCUCAGCCUUUGAUAAUUUCAGCUGUUUUAUGAAAGUCCUCCAUGUGGAUGAAAGUAUCAUCAAGCCGGAGCAAGAGUUUUUCAUUGCCCUAUUUGAGAAGAGCUGCGUGAGUGACUUUUAUAUUCAGGAUAGAGAUACAUUCUUCAAUCCAGCCACCAGAAGCCACAUUUGCAACUUCAGCCUCCGUCAGAGGACCUCAGCUGCCCCAGCGAACAGGGCCUUCUGUACAGGGAAUGGGCUCCUCCUCGAAGCAUAGACAAGAAGCAGCCCUUAGAUCUCAUCAGGAAAUUCUGCACAGAGAAGGUCAGAAUCUACUUUGAUUGUCUGGGCUAUUACACUCAGAUGCUCCUCCUGGCAGCAGUCGUGGGGGUGACUUGCUUUCUGUAUGGAUAUUUUAAUCAAAAUAAGUACCUGGAGGUAACUUCUCUUUAUUCCUUGUUGCCGUGCUUACUUA